CCGGCCAUGGAGGUCACCGUUGUCCCCAGGGCUGCGAGGGGACCAGAAAGGGGAGCUGCGCUGCAAGGGGCUGGCAGGGCAGCCACUGUGGAGGAGCCAGGAGGGGACACGAGAGCUGGGAUCUGGUGCCAGGCCCUGGAGCCAAGGGGACAGAGCCAGGUAAGGGCUCCAGGGAUGACUCCUGCCCCAGGCUGGAGCAGGAGGUGGCCCUGGAAGCCCAGGAAGGGAUGGGCACCCUGAGGGCAGAGCUGGGGCUGUGGGUGACGGUGUCCCUGACACAGGACUGGCCUGGCACUGCUGGGACACACCUGGGACACCUGUCACCGGUGCCACACGGACCUGCAGAGCACGGUGAGGUGACCUUGGGCUGGCACUGCUGCAGGUGGCAGGGACAGGCUGGGGUGGCUGUGCUGGCUCUGCUUUGCUGCUCCUGGGGUGAUGGCAGGGCCAAAGCCGGCUCCUGGAAGAGAAAAAGGUGUGGGGAUGGGAAAAGAGGAGGUUUCUGCCGUCUUGGCAGGGGCAGGGAGCCCGUGUGAGCCAGGAGCAGCUGGACAAGGAGAGAAGGAAAAUAACAACUUCAGAAGAAGAGAAACUGGAGCUGCUGGAGAGGCUGCGGGAGCUGGAGCGGGGCAGCCGCCACCUCCUGCGGCAGCGGCUGCGGGUCCUGCACCGCCUGCAGGGGCUGCUGCAGAGGGACCGGGCCCAGAGCCUGCGGCUGCUCCGGGAGGCCAUGGAACAGGAGCCGCCUGGCAGCAGCGCCCGGUGGGAGCAUCGCCCGAGCCGGGCCGGGGGCUCCGCGGCCCUGGGGAACCCCCCGGUGGCCCUGAGGAACGCCCCGGUGGUUUUCCGGGGACACGGCCCCCGGCCUGGCACUGCCCUGGCACCGGGCCCCUCGCCGGCAGCCCUCAGGUGGGUGCCCGGAGGUGCUCAGGGGCACUGGGGUGUCCCACUGGUGCGACCCUCCCUCCCUGUCCCCUGCCUGUCCCCUGCCUCUCAUCGCUGCCCUCCCCAGCCGCGCUCUCCACGUCCUGCGGGGGCUCCGGCAGCAAAUCCAGCGGCGCCUCGGGCAGUGGCAGGGCCUGGAGGGAGCCCUGGGAGCCGCCGGGCAGAGGAACGAGGUGAUUUAGGACUGGGAGGGAGGACAUGGGGUGGGUGAGCCCCCAUUGUCACCCCUGGGGCAGUGCCAGCCCCUGUGCAGGGCGCGGGCCCAGCCGAGUGUGUGUCCCUGUGCAGGAGGGGGAGCAGAGGCAGCGGCCACAGAAGGUCCCAGGAGCCCCAAGGGAGCCCCCGGUCCAGGUGAAUCAGGCCCCGGGUCCUUCCCCGAGGCCGGGCUGGGGUUCAGGGGGACAGGCCUCAGGGGUUGGGGUCUCUGAGAGCCUCGGGGACCCCCAGAUCCCCUCCAGAGGCUCCGUGUCCAGGUCCUGCCUGCUGGAAUGUCCAUCGGGUGACACUGUGUGUGUGUCCUGCCACUGCAGCUGCCCCGUGUCCAUGGCUGAGCUCCAAGGCACGAGGAGCCAGGAAUAUGUGGGCAGGAUCCUCCUGGAGCUCCCAGCCCGGGGCUGAGCUGCCCUUUCCCUCUCCUGUGCAGGGACAGAGGGAAUGUCCCCAUCCCGCCUCCAUCCCUGAGCUCCCCCAGCCCGGCCGGGGCUCCCCGGGGCUCCUGCAGCACCUCCAGCACCUCCAGCACCACCUCCGGGAGCUGCAGCUGGAGCAGACCCAGAGCCCAGGGAGCCGCUCUGCCCUGGGGGCACCGCUGGGCACCAGGGCCAGGCAGGGGCUGGGGGCUCCCCCUGUGCCCCAGCCCCGCUGCUGACCCAGGGGAGCAAGGGGGGCUCCAGUGUGGGGCGCAGUUCCUGCUGGAACAGCCCUGUGGCCCCAGGCAGUCCCACCACCAUCAAUCCGUGCCUCCAGGAGAGCCCAGGGCCUGUGUUGAUCCUGGGGGAAUCAAGAGGAAUGGCCAUAUGUGACGGUGUUCACAGGGGUUUUGAGAUGAGGGAAGAUACAAGGAUCUGACUCCAUGUUUCAGGAGGCUUGAUUUUUUAUUUUAUGAUAUUUAUUAUAUUAAAACUAUACUAAAAGAAUAGAAGAAAAGGUUUCAUCUCAGAAGGCUCGCUAAGCUAAG
rnacentral:lncRNA from 1 species